rnacentral:rRNA from 1 species
CCUACGGGCGGCAGCAGUGAGGAAUAUUGGUCAAUGGCCGGAAGGCUGAACCAGCCAUGCCGCGUGAAUGUCAGUGCCCUAUGGGCGUUAAACUUCUUUUGUGCGGGAGCAAUAAUGGUCACGUGUGGCCAGACGAGAGUACCGUACGAAUAAGCAUCGGCUAAGCCCGUUCCAGCAGCCGCAGUCAUCGGGGGGAUGCAAGCGUUAUCCGGAGUUGUUGGGUUUAAAGGGUGCGUAGGCUGGGAGGUAAGUCAGCGGUGAAAUGCCCCCGCUCCACGGUGUGAAGUGCCAUUGAUACUGCCUGGCUGGAAUGCGGAUGCGGUGGGAGGAAUGUGUGGUGUAGCGGUGAAAUGCAUAGAUAUCACACAGAACACCGAUUGCGAAGGCAUCUCACGAAUCCGCGAUUGACGCUGAUGCACGAAAGCGUGGGUAUCAAACAGGAUUAGAUACCCCUGUAGUC